rnacentral:rRNA from 1 species
GACGAACGCUGGCGGCGUGCUUAACACAUGCAAGUCGAACGGAAAGGCCCUGCUUUUGUUGUGUUCUCGAUUGCCGAGCGGGUGAGUAACACGUGAGUAACCUGCCCUUGUCUUUGGGAUAACUUCAGGAAACUGGGGCUAAUACCGGAUAUAAUCUCCUGCUGCAUGUUGUGGGUUGGAAAAUUUCGGCGGUUGUGGCGGGUUUCGCGGCUUAUGGGCUUGUUUGGCGGGUAUGGGUUUACCAAGUCUUUGACGGGUAGCCGGCAUGAGAGGGUGGACGGGGACAUGGGGACUGAGAGAGGGCCCAGACGCAAACGUGAGGCAGGAGGGGGGAACAUUGCGCAACGGCCGGGAGCCUGAUGUAGAAGUGCCGGGUGCGGAAUGACGGCUUUUGGGGUGUAAACAGCUUUCGAAGGUGACGAAGAGUGAGUGACGGUAAUGGGUAAAGAAGCACCGGCUAACUACGUG